rnacentral:rRNA from 1 species
AUUGAACGCUGGCGGCAGGCUUAACACAUGCAAGUCGAGCGGAGCGAGGGUGCUUGCACCUUAGCUUAGCGGCGGACGGGUGAGUAAUGCUUAGGAAUCUGCCUAUUAGUGGGGGACAACAUUCCGAAAGGAAUGCUAAUACCGCAUACGCCCUACGGGGGAAAGCAGGGGAUCUUCGGACCUUGCGCUAAUAGAUGAGCCUAAGUCGGAUUAGCUAGUUGGUGGGGUAAAGGCCUACCAAGGCGACGAUCUGUAGCGGGUCUGAGAGGAUGAGCCGCCACACUGGGACUGAGAGACGGCCCAGACUCCUACGGGAGGCAGCAGUGGGGAAUAUCGGACAAUGGGCGGAAGCCUGAUCCAGCCAUGCCGCGUGUGUGAAGAAGGCCUUUUGGUUGUAAAGCACUUUAAGCGAGGAGGAGGCUACUUAGAUUAAUACUCUGGGAUAGUGGACGUUACUCGCAGAAUAAGCACCGGCUAACUCUAUGCCAGCCGCCGCAGUAA